GGGGAGAUAGCUCAGCAGCAGAGCACAGGACUUGCAAGCCUGAGAAUCCAGGUUUCACCCCU
rnacentral:tRNA from 1 species